ensembl:lncRNA
GGAAUAAAAUAUUAUUGAUCAUGUUCUUUGCAGAACAAGGUUGUUGUAGUAAACAAGGCUGUAAUAAGUAAGUGCAGUACUGUGUGAGGAUGUGAUAUGACUAGUGUCCUUCAACUUUGUUGGUAUGGCCUUACUUAAACACAUGGAUUGUUCUUUUGUGUAAUGCUGGCACAACUUUCAGUUAAAAUAUUCUAUUGUAAUAUUCUUAAGAUAGAAUAUAUUAACACUCAAUAUGAAAUCAACCUUAAUUUAUGGCGGACCUUCUGCCCACUGUAGCCUCAGAUUCCUGUUCUUGGCUUCUGCUGUUAUAGCCCUAUUUGUCGUAUUGUUGGACAUGUCUUUUUAUUGUAAAGAGUGACCCGAGAGUAUAAUGAUAAUAAUGAGUCUUUAUUGAUUACAUAUACAUUACAGCACAGUGAAAUUCUUUUCUUCACAUACCCCAGCAUCGCCGGAAGUUGGGGUCUGAGCGCAGGGUCAGCCAUGAUACAGCGCCCCUGGAGCAGAGAGGGUUAAGGGUCUUGCUCAAGGGCCCAAAAGUGGCCCCAGUAUGUAUACAUAUAUAGGUGCCAUCAACCUUUCCGUUUUUAUUGAACUGCUGUGACGGUGAAAUGGGACUUCAGCUGUAGCUACGAUUAUUUCUAGAAAGAGCAGCUGUGAGGCUGGAACCGUGCUUGAGUGAAGAUAUCCUCAUGGUUGCUGCAUUCAGACCAUGGGAAGAAUCAAUGACGCAUCAAUGAGCUGAGUUCAAACUGCUAAGUUUUGGACGAUGUAUGUGAUGUAAUGGAAUAACUGGAGUUUGGGAGAAAGUCUAUGCCUGAAGCUUCAGCUACUACCCAUUUCUUUGUUUCUCUGCUUGUGAUGCCAUUUCCACAACUCUGAUGGCAAUACAGCAACCCUCAAAUCCACUCAUGAUCUCAUGAUCCCAUGCAGGACCUACUCCUACCAGCUCACCAAUACUAUCAAGCUCCAGAUUCAUCUUCAGCAAUCAACAACCCAGCAUGACUAACCACAUUCAAAUGAAUCAUAUGGGCAUUUAAUAUGGGCUAUACUUACUCCAACCACAACUAGAAAUGUAUCUGUGGGACCCAGUGUGUGUGGGUGUUGGGUAGG